rnacentral:rRNA from 1 species
AUACGGAGGGUCCAAGCGUUAUCCGGAAUCAUUGGGUUUAAAGGGUCCGCAGGCGGUCAAUUAAGUCAGAGGUGAAAGCCCAUCGCUCAACGAUGGAACUGCCUUUGAUACUGGUUGACUUGAGUUAUACGGAAGUAGAUAGAAUAAGUAGUGUAGCGGUGAAAUGUAUAGAUAUUACUUAGAAUACCGAUUGCGAAGGCAGUCUACUACGUAUAUACUGACGCUGAGGGACGAAAGCGUGGGGAGCGAACAGGAUUAGAUACCCUAGUAGUCC